CACGUAGGGACCGAGCGUUGUCCGGAAUCAUUGGGCGUAAAGAGCGUGUAGGCGGCUAUUUAAGUCCUGCGUGAAAUCCUGCGGCUCAACCGCAGACGGUCGUGGGAAACUGGAUGGCUAGAGUGCGGGAGAGGAGAGUGGAAUUCCCGGUGUAGCGGUGAAAUGCGCAGAUAUCGGGAAGAACACCCGUGGCGAAGGCGGCUCUCUGGAACGCAACUGACGCUGAGACGCGGAAAGCGUGGGGAGCAAACAGGG
rnacentral:rRNA from 1 species